rnacentral:rRNA from 1 species
ACCGUGCGCAUAGCUAACAUGCAAGUCGUACAGAGAGUGGGGCGACUCAGUCUCAGUGGCAAACGGGUGAAAAACACGUGAAUAACCUGCCUUUGAGAAGGGGAUAACUGUCCGAAAGGAUAGCUAAUACCCUAUAUUGCCUUUUGUCACUAAGGCAAAAGGUGAAAGCGAGGCUGUCAAAGGCUUCGGCUCAAAGAGGGAGUUCGCGUCCUAUCAGGUAGUUGGUGGGGUAAUGGCCUACCAAGCCAAUGACGGGUAGCUGGUCUUAGAGGAUAAUCAGCCACAGUGGGUACUGAGACACGGCCCGCACCCCUACGGGGGGCAGCAGUGGGGAAUCGUGGGCAAUGGGCGCAAGCCUGACCCCGCAAUGCCGCGUGAGGGAAGAAGCCCUUCGGGGUGUAAACCUCUGUCAGAUGGGAAGAUGGGACUAGGGGCUAAUACCUCCUACACUUGACGGUACCAUCAGAGGAAGGGACGGCUAACUACGAGCCAACAGCCACGGUAAU